GUGAGUGACAGUUUUUAAAUCCAUUACCAUUAGAAAACCACAGGUUUUAAGAAAAUUUUAUUUUCCAUUUAUAUUGAGGUACAAUUGACAUAUAGUAAAUUUCACCCUUUUAAGCACACAGUUCUUAGAAUUUUGAAAUACAGUUAUGUAACCACCACCACAAUCAAGAUACACAACAGUGCCAUCGGCCCCUAAAAUUCCCCCAUGCCUCUUUUGUAACCAUCCCCUCUUCAAACCGCAGCCCUUGGCAACCACUAAUCUGUUUUUCUUCCUGUAGUUUGGCUUUCUUAAGAAUGUCGUAUAAACUGAGUCAUGGAGUAGGUAGCCCUUGGUAUCCUGCUUCUUUCAGCUAGCAUAAUGCAUGUGAGAUCCAUUCAUGCUGUUGUGCAAAACAGUAGUUUGUUUCUUUUUAUUGCUGAGUAAGGAUUUUAUUGUAUGGAAUGUACCAGUUUGUUUAUCCAUUCUCCAGUUGAGAAACAUUUGGGUAGUUUUUAGUUCCUGGUGAUGACAGAUAAAGCUGCUGCAAACAUUCAUGUGCAUAUUUUCGUGAGGAUGUAGUUUUCAUUUCACUUGAGUAAAUGCAAAGCAGUGAGAUUGCUGGGUCAUACAGGGAGGACAAAUGGAUUCCUGAGGUGCAGGGCAAUCAACAGAUGAGAUCCAAGAGUCAGAACCCUGGAAUGGACCACCAGAACUUUCCCAUGGAGCCCCAGGACUUCUUCCCCCAAUUCCUGCUGUUUCUCCUCCUCCCUGUAGCAGGCUUCUUAAAGCAGGAUGAAAAAGCCUCACAGCUUGCGGUGUUGACAGUAUUCUAGAAGACCCUACACCCCUGUGGCUUCUCGAUGACUAAUGUGGAGCCAGCAUCUGUCAGCACAAACUCAGAGUGAUUACCCAGAAAUAGGUAUCCUUCUAAUUAAAAUAUCUGACCAUGUCCCCAUCAGCCACUUGCCUCAUUUGGGACACCACCAACCAUCCUGCACGGCUGCCCAUGUUUCUGUUUCUCCAGCCCAAGCAUGCAGUUUCAGUAGGUCCUUCAGAGGCUGCCUGAAAGGAGCUCCUGAAUUUCACAGACAAAUCCAGACCCCUGUGUGGAAAGCCUGCGGUGGUGUUCUCCGUCUUCCCACAGGACUCCCUGCAGCCAGGAAUUCUAGGGGAGCACCUGACGCGAGGUAUACGCCCAGAUGGCCUGAAGUAACUGAAGAAUCACAAAAGAAGUGAAAAUGUCCUGCCCCGCCUUAACUGAUGACAUUCCACCACAAAGGAAGUGUCAAUGGCUGGUCCUUGCCUUAACUGAUGACAUUCCACCGCAAAAGAAGUGAAAAUGGCCGGUCCUUGCCUUAACUGAUGACAUUACACCACAAAAGAAGUGAAAAUGGCCGGUCCUUGCCUUAAGUGAUGGCAUUACCUUGUGAAAGUCCUUUUCCUGGCUCAUUCUGGCUCAAAAUCACCCCCACUGAGCACCUUGUGACCCCCACUCCUGCCCGCCAGGGAACAAUCCCCCUUUGACUGUAAUUUUCCUUUACCUACCCAAAUCUUAUAAAAUGGCCCCACCCCUAUCUCCCUUUGCUGACUCUCUUUUUGGACUCAGCCUGCCUGCAUCCAGGUGAUUAAAAGCUUUUAUUGCUCACACA
rnacentral:lncRNA from 1 species